rnacentral:rRNA from 1 species
CCUACGGGGGGCUGCAGUGCGGAAUAUUGGACAAUGGGGGGAACCCUGAUCCAGCCAUGCCGCGUGUGUGAAGAAGGCCCUCGGGUUGUAAAGCACUUUCAGUGAGGAAGAACGCCUGGUGGUUAAUACCCAUCAGGAAAGACAUCACUCACAGAAGAAGCACCGGCUAACUCCGUGCCAGCAGCCGCGGUAAUACGGAGGGUGCGAGCGUUAAUCGGAAUUACUGGGCGUAAAGCGCGCGUAGGUGGCUUGAUAAGCCGGUUGUGAAAGCCCCGGGCUCAACCUGGGAACGGCAUCCGGAACUGUCAAGCUAGAGUGCAGGAGAGGAAGGUAGAAUUCCCGGUGUAGCGGUGAAAUGCGUAGAGAUCGGGAGGAAUACCAGUGGCGAAGGCGGCCUUCUGGACUGACACUAACACUGAGGUGCGAAAGCGUGGGUAGCAAACAGGAUUAGAUACCCUUGUAGUC